rnacentral:tRNA from 1 species
AAUUAGCUAUAUUAAGUAAAUGUUUUGAAAGCAUUUGAAAAGAAUAAUCUUAUUU